rnacentral:rRNA from 1 species
UUUAUGGAGAGUUUGAUCCUGGCUCAGGAUGAACGCUGGCGGCGUGCCUAAUACAUGCAAGUCGAGCGAACGGAUGAGAAGCUUGCUUCUCUGAUGUUAGCGGCGGACGGGUGAGUAACACGUGGAUAACCUACCUAUAAGACUGGGACAACUUCGGGAAACCGGAGCUAAUACCGGAUAAUAUUUUGAACCGCAUGGUUCAAAAGUGAAAGACGGUCUUGCUGUCACUUAUAGAUGGAUCCGCGCUGCAUUAGCUAGUUGGUAAGGUAACGGCUUACCAAGGCAACGAUGCAUAGCCGACCUGAGAGGGUGAUCGGCCACACUGGAACUGAGACACGGUCCAGACUCCUACGGGAGGCAGCAGUAGGGAAUCUUCCGCAAUGGGCGAAAGCCUGACGGAGCAACGCCGCGUGAGCGAUGAAGGUCUUCGGAUCGUAAAACUCUGUUAUUAGGGAAGAACAUAUGUGUAAGUAACUGUGCACAUCUUGACGGUACCUAAUCAGAAAGCCACGGCUAACUACGUGCCAGC